CUAAGUUAAAGUAUGUGAGUUGCGAUAACCUUAACGCAACGAUAAUUCCGUGGAACGGACGCCUGAAUUCUAAAGGUGGACCGUUGUGUGGUAUUAAAUUCAUACGUUUCAACUUUUGACGUGUCUGAAGUACUACUCAACUCAAUCCAACUCAAUUGGAUUAUGCCGUGGAUUGUGUAGGUGUCAGCUUAUUCACACUCGAGAGGAUAAUUCUAAAAACGUUAUAAAUGGCAAGUAAUAAAUAAAAUACUAAACUCGCUCCUGUGUAAAACCAAUUUUAUGAAACUCGUGAAUAGUUGUGGUAUCUGACUCGCUUUCGCUCGUCAGAUACCACAACUAUUCACUCGUUUCAUAAAAUUGGUAUUACACGGAAGCUCGUUUAGUAUUCUAUAUUUAGUGUGCAGCUGUGAUCGAUACUUGUAUCGGGAAGUAAAAUAUCACGAUCCACCAAUGCAUCAGUGUAUCGUCCCACCACUACCAAUUAUGUCAUUAAAUCAAUUGGAUGCUUCUUUUUCAACGGUGUAUUGCAUCUGUCAGCAAGAACUUAUAAUUUUCACUGUUUUAAUCUCACAGUAGAGUCGUUUUCUUGUGGGUAAAUGUGUUUUUUGUUAGAGAGAAUAACAGGUAUUCAAUAUAUGGUACACCACAGUCUGAUUGGCUAACAAGGCUUGCAUAGUAACCCAAGUAGUGAUUAUCACCUUUAUUCAUCUUACCCAAACAAGAGUCGACAUCGAUUUUCCAUCUCAGGAUAUAGACACGAAUAAUAAGUGGAAUGUACAUUGCAAUUCUCUGUCUAAAUGCACUGAAGUAGCUUAGGGAAUGGGGGCAGGUCAACACGCCCUUCCUGGACCAGGUCCAGGCCCUGAAGAUGCUCCCAUGUGGGCAGUGCCUGGUCCAGGUCUAGAAGGUAGUGGCACUGUGCCUGGUCCAGGUCUAGAAGGUAGUGGCACUGUGCCUGGUCCAGGUCUAGAAGGUAGUGGCACUGUGCCUGGUCCAGGUCUAGAAGGUAGUGGCACUGUGCCUGGUCCAGGUCUAGAAGGUAGUGGCACUGUGCCUGGUCCAGGUCUAGAAGGUAGUGGCACUGUGCCUGGUCCAGGUCUAGAAGGUAGUGGCACUGUGCCUGGUCCAGGUCUAGAAGGUAGUGGCACUGUGCCUGGUCCAGGUCUAGAAGGUAGUGGCACUGUGCCUGGUCCAGGUCUAGAAGGUAGUGGCACUGUGCCCCCGAAAUUCUUAAAUCAGUGGAUUCUUUGAGCCUUGGCAGAGAUAUAUGUUUGUCAUUUAAUAUCCAUGCGUUUAACUUAAUUUAGGAUGAAGGGACCCAAAUUUUUCAAAUUAAGAAUUUACGAAUGUCUUCAUUUUUCUUUCAACCACAUCUGUAAAUGAAUUGAAAUGACAACAAGGUACAUGUCUCCACUGAUAUGUUGAUGAACACUGGAAAUACACCACCUCCCUUAUUUAUACAAUGUGGUGGUAUGGGUGGCCGAGUCGCCUAAGGUGAGGUGAAAUGGGGUUUAACAUCGCAUCCAAGAUUGUUGCACUUAUAUCGCGACGUGCAUGUACGUGUGUGUGUUUGUGUGGCUGCUUGUACUAGUCCGGACUGAUGCCGAUUUAUAGUGCUAGCUCACUGAGAUACCAUGCCGCAGUUUAACAUGAAUACCCCACUCAGACACAGUAUACUGACUCCGAGCCGACCAGUCCUUGUUUUAGCCCCUUAAUGCCGAGCGCCACACAGGGUAACAACAAGUACCAUCUUUUAACGUCUUUUGGUAUGAUGUGGCUGGGGAUUGAACCCCGGACCUUCCGCUCUCCAGGCGGACACUCUACCACUAGACCAUGGAGGCCUUAGACCACCUUAGGCAUGACAGAAACCUGUGAUCGCUGGUUGAAUCCCAUGUUCACCCUGAUAAUGUAUCUUGAUUUGUCAGGCGGGGUAGCCUCGUGAUUAAAGCGUUCGUCACGCCGAAGGCCCUGGGUUCGAUUCCCGACAUUGGUACAAUGUGUGAAGCCCAUUUCUGGUGUCUCCCACUGGGAUAUUGCUUGAAUAUUGCCUAAAGCGGCGUAAAACAAUACUCACUCACUCGGUUUGUCAGCAGCAUACUCGAGCACAUGGGUUUCACGUUUCAAGUGGUACAUGUCUAGACCUGCAUCAACUAUUCCUCCCAUGUCAAGCUGACAUGCCAUGAUGUGACUGAGUAAUGUUCAAAGUGGCAAUAAACCACACUUUUAUCAUCCAAAACUGGCUCCCACAGGAGAUAUCACUUGGGUGAGAUCAAGCGAUAUCUACACUGUAGAUAUCGCUGCAAUGAAAUUGAAUCACAAUGCUUUGCAGACCAUUGUGACGACCAUUUAUCAUCUUGUAUCUUAUUACAUUGUAAAAGGUGUUCACAUGACAUGUAAAAAUGGGCAGUGGGGUAGCCUAGUGGUUAAAGCAUUUGCUCAUCAAGCCAAAGGCCUGAGUUCGGUCCCCACAUGGUAACAAUCUGUGAAGCCCAUUUCUGGUGUUGACGUGAUAUUGCUGAAAUAUUGCUAAAAGCGGCAUAAAACCAUUCUCACAUGUGUAAACGAAAGGCGUCCUGUCAGCACCUUCACCUGACUGCCCCCAAACCUGAAUAAAACUGUUUUUGAUGAAGUAAUCACCUCCUCAAUCACUCCCUGCCAGCAUGUAUAUAAGUUUCAUGAACUACAGCUUUUCAGGCAUUCAGACGACACCUGACCUCAUUAGUUUCAAUAUAUUUCCAAUACCUAUGCAAACAGAACAUUGAUAUAUUAAGAUAAAAAAUCAGAAAUUACCUCAUAAUCAGAUAAAUCAAAAUUACUAUGCUACUCCUUGUUUUAUUUUGUGAAGCCAUGCCAGGCAUUCUUCUAGCUUUGUUCAUGUUGAGUGACCUUGACCUUCAGGUAAACCAAUGAUGUUGCACAAAUUUGAAUAACAUAUCAACAUUUGUAUCAGAUAUUAAAUCUCUUACCUGAAAAUACAUUUGGAAUCAUUGAGUGAAUGACCUUGACCGUGACCUUGACAUGGUUUAGACAAAGACAUCAGGGAUUCUUUCUAUCUGAUAACAAACAAUGUUUUUUGGAUACACUAAGGUUUGUGUGGUGUUUGCCAGUCUGUGACUUACGCCACUUGUCCAAAGUCCAAUAAAAUUCGGUUUAAGGUCAGCUAAUAAUAGUCCAUGUGAUAACAUUAAAAUGUACUUAACGUGAUGCUAAGAUCCAUGCUCGGCUAGUAAUCUCAAAACGCUUUCGCACAGAUUGCUGUGCCUUUCCUGAACUUGACCUUCGACUGCUGUAAACUGAUAUCUCUCAAUUUGAAAGCCAAACUUAGAGAUGAAGGGAGUAAAGUUUGGUCAGAAUCCUGUCAAGACUUGAGUCGCUGUGGUCACAAACUUUUCCUGUCUAUUACAUGUUGUAUUAGGUAUUCACUGAUUUUGACGUUCAGUGUCAGUUUAUCACAUGCUAGAAACCGAACAGGAGCACAUGGCGGCGGAGGGCAAAUUCGGGAAUUUGUAAAACAGCCGGCUUUGAAAAGGCUGAUUAAUAAUAUUCUGUCGGUCAUCCUGGAAUUUCAGUUGGGGGAAAAAAGGAUUAUGAUCAUAUAAUUUACCUGUUACAUUACUGCUAACCUUUAACUAGAUCAGACUUUAACAAGAAUUACUAAUUCCUGUAUGUCAUGAGUUUAUGAACAUUUCCUUCUAUGUAUUAUAAAGUACAUGUUUGAAAGGAAGCCACUUCUCUACUCUUGGGUCUUGUCAUGCCUUGAUUAUGAAGUUAUACCUGGAUUACAAUUUGUGUACAUCAGGACAAUUCGUAUUGGAAUUACUCUUAAGUUACUUGUUUUUACAAAAUCCAAGUUGUGUAUCUUUUUUAUGACUCUUGUAUUGUUGUUUGGACAUAUUCCCACAAAUCAUAUUUAUGUUCAUGUGUAUAUCGCAUUUGUUCCCAUUGUUUAGUUACCACAUGAUUCACAAAUCAUCAUCAUCAUCAUCAUCAUCAUCAUACUCAUGACACCUCACUUCACAACUGUAAACCAUGCUCUUUUACCAUGUUUCUUUUAGCUUUUAUUAAUUAUUCUGAUUCAUCAAUAGAAUUAUUUCUGCCUUCUAUACCACUGUAUGUUAUUCUUAAUUAACCAACUAUUAGAAAAAUAUUGCAUUUAAAAAAUUAAAUUUGUUGCCAUAGUCACCAUGGUCGUAUCUGCUUGUUGAUGACAGAGAUUCAGCAGUGUAUGUAAUACUUAUGAGAGCUUUUGGGGGAUAGGUUUUUGAAAUGGAAAUGUCAUGGUUUACAGCACUCAUUCAUAACAUUAAUGUUAAUCAUGUUGUUUUCAAUAAAAUGUUGUAAUAUA
rnacentral:lncRNA from 1 species